rnacentral:rRNA from 1 species
UACAGAGGUCCCGAGCGUUGUUCGGAUUCAUUGGGCGUAAAGGGUGCGUAGGCGGCGGGGAAAGUCUGAUGUGAAAUCCUGGGGCUCAACCCUGGAACUGCAUUGGAUACUUCCUUGCUAGAGUACUGGAGAGGAAACUGGAAUUUACGGUGUAGCAGUGAAAUGCGUAGAGAUCGUAAGGAAGACCAGUGGCGAAGGCGAGUUUCUGGACAGUUACUGACGCUGGAGGCACGAAGGCCAGGGGAGCAAACGGG